CACCAUGCGGCGCAGCCUGAUGCAGCCAUGCCGCGUGUGUGAAGAAGGCCUUCGGGUUGUAAAGCACUUUCAGUCGUGAGGAAGGUAGUGCAGUUAAUAGCUGCAUUAUUUGACGUUAGCGACAGAAGAAGCACCGGCUAACUCCGUGCCAGCAGCCGCGGUAAUACGGAGGGUGCGAGCGUUAAUCGGAAUUACUGGGCGUAAAGCGCAUGCAGGUGGUUUGUUAAGUCAGAUGUGAAAGCCCGGGGCUCAACCUCGGAAUUGCAUUUGAAACUGGCAGACUAGAGUACUGUAGAGGGGGGUAGAAUUUCAGGUGUAGCGGUGAAAUGCGUAGAGAUCUGAAGGAAUACCGGUGGCGAAGGCGGCCCCCUGGACAGAUACUGACACUCAGAUGCGAAAGCGUGGGGAGCAAACAGGAUUAGAUACCCUGGUAGUCCACGCCGUAAACGAUGUCUACUUGGAGGUUGUGGCCUUGAGCCGUGGCUUUCGGAGCUAACGCGUUAAGUAGACCGCCUGGG
rnacentral:rRNA from 1 species